AAUAUGCAAUAUGCAUGCAAAACUAUCCUAGACAUGCAAAGUGAUGACAAAUGAUGAGAAAUGGUAUAAAAUAGUUGUGAUAUGAUGCUAAAGUAAUGACAAAUGGAUGCUCAAAACGUGUAAAAUGCACACUUAUCAACUCCCCCAAACUUAGUCUUUGCUUGCCCUCAAGCAAACAAUUAAGAACAAGGUGGAGGUGAGGUUUGAAAGCGGGGUGAUCGACUUCUACUUAAAAACUUUAGCCAUGCUCUGUUAUGAUCCAAAUUCACACUCAGUUGCACAAUACGUCAAGAUCAACCAAUCCCGUUAACAUUUAUUAAGUUCAGGAACAUGAAUCAAGAUAUGCAUCGCUAGUGAACUCAUUUGGCUAAAGACGAGUUAUGAGACAAAGAUGGUCCGUUUAAGGUGGUUCAUACAUUAAUAACAGGGGACUCUCAUUGAAAAAGGACUGAGGUUUAGAAGAAUGCUAAAGGUAAGUGCCAACAUAUGCAUACAAGAAUAGCACCCCAUCUACCCAAUGACAUAAACCGUGAAUAACAAGUAGAUGGUCCUAUCUCUAAACCCAAUAAUGAUCCUAAGUCUACCCUUUUGCACUAAAGGCAUAUUUCGAUUU
rnacentral:sRNA from 1 species